rfam:Macaca mulatta chromosome 6, whole genome shotgun sequence.
GGGAAAUGGACAGAGGGGCCAGUCCCAGGCCCCAGUUCAAAAUGGGGCA